GACGAACGCUGGCGGCGUGCUUAACACAUGCAAGUCGAACGGUAAGGCCCCUUCGGGGGUACACGAGUGGCGAACGGGUGAGUAACACGUGAGCAACCUGCCCUUGACUUUGGGAUACCAGCUGGAAACAGCUGCUAAUACCGGAUAUGACCUCUUCUCUCUUGGGUUGAGGUGGAAAGCUCCGGCGGUCAGGGAUGGGCUCGCGGCCUAUCAGCUUGUUGGUGAGGUAAUGGCUCACCAAGGCUUCGACGGGUAGCCGGCCUGAGAGGGCGACCGGCCACACUGGGACUGAGAUACGGCCCAGACUCCUACGGGAGGCAGCAGUGGGGAAUAUUGCACAAUGGGCGCAAGCCUGAUGCAGCAACGCCGCGUGCGGGAUGACGGCCUUCGGGUUGUAAACCGCUUUCAGUAGGGACGAAGCUAACGUGACGGUACCUACAGAAGAAGGACCGGCUAACUACGUG
rnacentral:rRNA from 1 species